rnacentral:lncRNA from 1 species
CGGUCCCAGACCGAACGCAACGGUUAAACGUCGCGAGCGCAAACAGCGCAGGUGAGCGGAAGGCGCGCUGAUGGAGGAAUAUGUCGACCAGGAGAAAGAAGCGACGGGAGAAGCAGUCGGGCCGAGCAGGGAUGCGCAUCAUCAGGACACGAGAGACACGCUCUCCGGAAGGCAUCUUUUGUGCCGAAGCCGGCGGGGCACCAUCACCUGGU